rnacentral:tRNA from 1 species
CUUUUCUCCUAGUGGUAGAGUAAUGCCGCGGUAAGACAAAAGUCAUCGGUUGGAAUCUGAUAAAG